CUCGGUCGGCGGAGAAGGCCGCUCGCCGCCUCCAGGAGGGCUAAGGCGCCGGGCAGGGAGGCGGAGGAGGAGGCGGCCGGGCUGGGAUCUAGAGGGAGAGCCAGGCGCUGCGGGGAGAAGUUAUUUUUAUCCUUUUUAUUUUUAUUCUGACAUUAUUAUUAUUUAUUAGGUUUUUUUCCCCCAUCCCGAAAACGAAACUCAGAGCGGCUUACAAAAACCGGGCGUUAAAGAGGAUAGAACAGCCUAAAACACAUAGGUGCUAUUUUUAUUUUUAUCUUUUAUUAUUAUUAUUAUUAAUUAGGUUUUUCACCAUCCCAAAAAUGAAACUCAGAGCAGCUUACAAAAACCAGGCAUUAAGAAGGAGGAUAGAACAGCCUAAAACACAUAAGUGCUAUUUUUAUUUUUAUCUAUUAUUAUUACAGUAUUAUUAUUAUUAUUAUUUAUUAGAUUUCCCCACCACCACCCCGAAAAGGAAACUCAGAGCGGCUUACAAAAACCGGGCAUUAAAGAGGAGGAUAGAGCAGCCUAAAACACAUAGGUGCUAUUUUUAUUUUUAUCUAUUAUUAUUAUUAUUAUUAAUUAAUUAUUAGGUUUUUCCCCAUCCCAAAAAUGAAACUCAGAGCAACUUACAAAAACCGGGCAUUAAGGAGAAGAAUAGAACAGCCAAAAACACAUGUGCUAUUAUUAUUAUUUACAGUGGUACGUCUGGUUGCAAACGGGAUCCAUUCCGGAGCCCCAUUUGCAACCUGAAAGGGACACAACCCGCAUCUGCGCACACGCAGGUUGCGAUUCACCGGUUUUGCGCAUGCGCGAGCGGCAAAACCCAGAAGUAACCCUUUCCGGUACUUCCAGGUUGCCGCGGGACGCAACCUGAAAAGACGUAACCCGAACCGAACAUAACAAGAGGUAUGACUGUAUUAGGGGUUUUUUCCCCCAUCCCAGAAACAGCACCCAGAGCAGUUUACAAAAACCAGGCAUUGAGGAGGAGGAUAGAACUGCCAAAAACACAUAUUCUAUUAUUAUUGUUGUUGUUGUUGUUGUUGUUAUUUAUUAAAGAUUUUCUUGUUUUACAGAAGUAUGUGUAAUGUCUCUCGUAUUUUUCCAUGUAACAUUUUUACAAAUCUCAACAAAUGAAAAUGUUGUUAUUAUUUAUUAGGUUUUUUCCCCAUCCCAGAAACGAAACUCAGAACAGCUUACAAAAACUGUGCAUUAAAGAGAAGAAAGAAGAGCCUAAAAUAC